GAUUUCAUUGACAAAUAAAUGUGGCAGCACUUUACAUUCCACCACGGUAAUAAGAUGGUAAUAGUGGGGUAACAGUGUGAUAAUAAAGAGGUAAUAUAUAGACAAUAACUUGUAAUUACCAAAGUAAUAACUAGUUACUACAUCACAGUAAUAAAAUGUAAUACUGGGGUAAUAAGGUGAUAAGAAGGUAACAGAUGUAUAACAUGCAAUUACCAAUGCAAUAACUAGG